rnacentral:tRNA from 2 species
GGAAGUGCUUGCACACCUGGUGGUGGCCCCGGUUUUCAAAACCGUUGGGAGUUGCGAUAAACGCGGCUCCGGUGGGUUCGAUUCCCAUGCACUUCCGCCA